rnacentral:rRNA from 1 species
AACCUCCGCAAUGUGAGAAAUCGCGACGGGGGGAUCCCAAGUGCCAUUCUUAACGGGAUGGCUUUUCAUUAGUGUAAAGAGCUUUUGGAAUAAGGGCUGGGCAAGACCGGUGCCAGCCGCCGCGGUAACACCGGCAGCUCUAGUGGUAGCAGUUUUUAUUGGGCCUAAAGCGUCCGUAGCCGGUUUAAUAAGUCUCUGGUGAAAUCCUGUAGCUUAACUGUGGGAAUUGCUGGAGAUACUAUUAGACUUGAGACCGGGAGAGGUUAGAGGUACUCCCAGGGUAGAGGUGAAAUUCUGUAAUCCUGGGAGGACCACCUGUGGCGAAGGCGGCUAACUGGAACGAACCUGACGGUGAGGGACGAAAGCUAGGGGCGCGAACCGGAUUAGAUACCCGGGUAGUCCUAGCCGUAAACGAUGCGGACUUGGUGUUGGGGUGGCUUUGAGCUGCUCCAGUGCCGAAGGGAAGCUGUUAAGUCCGCCGCCUGGGAAGUACGGUCGCAAGACUGAAACUUAAAGGAAUU